rnacentral:lncRNA from 1 species
CAGGUGGCCUGCAGUGCCAAGCUGUUUCCCUGCCAGCCUCCCAGUCUGGCCCUGACUCUCCAAUGUGUCACAGAAUAAAGAAAAAGACUGGGAGAGAGAUGGGAGCUGAUAGACCAGAGGAGACCAAAGACUGAAACUGAAGACUAAACCAUGGAAAUUGGGAACAAGCACUUACUCGCUUAGAGGGUGAAAAAAGUGAAUUUGCCUACAGGGCCAAUUUGGAAGCACCUCUCCCUGGAAGCCAGUCAAUGAAGAGCCAUUGGAGGAUUUUAAAUAAGGAACCGAAAAAUGGAGUCUGAAAAUAGAGGCGCAGAGACCGGUCAACCACAAUGAAGAACAAGCCAUUUUGACCUCCAUCCUGGCUCAUCUCCUCUGUGUUCUCAUAGCAUCAUAUUAUAGAAUGGAUCACAAACGCCUUUGCAGUUGCCUAUUUAUUUGUCCAUUUCUCCCUCCAGACUGCCUUUGUGAGAAAAACACCCAAAUGCCACAAGUGCAUCCCCAGGGAGGUGCAGGGUGGCAGGAGCUGAGGAUGCAAAAACAUAAUUGCUUUCUAUCUACUCUGAUUUGAGCUUCAUCAAAUCCUUUGGCUCCCAAGGCAUUCUGCAGCAGAUGUGUGCACAAUAUUCCAGCACUAGGACUUGUGUCUGCGGGUACUGCUCGAGGCCCAAGAGUCUGAGGGUCUGCAAAGCCUCCAAGCCCUUCCCCUUCCUCCCAGGCCUCAGGGCCUGUGCUGGCCACCCUCCUAUACAGCCCUUACUUGGCAUUCUUGCUAAGUCCUGUGGGGGCUCCAUCCUUGACUCUUUUCAUUCCACGCUGAUGUCUUCUGGGCUCUGCGCCUCAGGGGAGAACUUGCAAUGCUAGUAAUAAACAAAGAGUACUCAUGAUAAAAAAAAAAAAAAA